AUUGAACGCUGGCGGCAUGCCUAACACAUGCAAGUCGAACGCGAAAGUCCUUUGGGGCGAGUAGAGUGGCGGACGGGUGAGUAAUGCGUGGGAAUCUGCCUGGCAGUGGGGGACAACCCGGGGAAACUCGGGCUAAUACCGCAUACGACCUACGGGUGAAAGGGGGGUUUCGGCCUCUCGCUGCGAGAUGAGCCCACGUCCGAUUAGCUAGUUGGCAGGGUAAGAGCCUACCAAGGCGACGAUCGGUAGCUGGUCUGAGAGGAUGAUCAGCCACACUGGGACUGAGACACGGCCCAGACUCCUACGGGAGGCAGCAGUGGGGAAUAUUGGACAAUGGGCGCAAGCCUGAUCCAGCAAUGCCGCGUGUGUGAAGAAGGCCUGCGGGUUGUAAAGCACUUUCAGUGGGGAAGAAGCGGCUUGGGUUAAUACCCUGGGCUGUUGACGUUACCCACAAAAGAAGCACCGGCUAACUCCGUGC
rnacentral:rRNA from 1 species